AGUAGCAAUAAAAUGUAAAAAUGAUGUAGUGCAUUAACUAAGCAUGUACUACAGUCAAUCAUUAAUAAGCAGUAGAAGUAGAAAUCAAACUAGGAAAAAAUGAAAGGUUUGGCAUCUGGCGACAGAUAAAUAAAGCAAAGUAGCAGAAGCAGAGCAGCUAGACGACCUCUAGAAAAGAUGAUCGCUAUCUAAAAAGUAAGACCCUAAUAUCCAGUCAUUUUCUUUACAAGAAAAUCGAGAUUUAUGUUUUUCUGUCAACUCAAAGGUCUAUAAGCUGUAUGAUAUUCAGCCCCACUCAAAACUGAGGUGUCUACUUUCCUUGAACCAAAUGAGAAUCAGUGAUAAGCAUCCAGUCAGUUAUAGAAAGACGAUGAAAUGUCUAAAAUUUGUUAAUGUCUCGACAAGAACUCACUUCUAAGCAAUUAAUCUCCAGUACUUUUGCUAAGGCCUGCUACCUCAUAUAUGGUAUUUCCUCUAUAGAAAAUGAGGGCACAGAAGCCCUUUUAUAAUGCUUUGAUCCAUUUCAUACUGCAUUCUCACUAACCAAGCUCUCACUCUCUGCUCACAACUAGAAGAGCUCAAAGAGAAGUUUUUUCUCAAUUAUAAAUGAGCCAGCACCUUUAUGCAGUAACUUGAUUUUUCUCUCAUUAUAUCCACAUAAGAGCAUCCGUCAUUAAUCCACUUAUAAAACAUAGCAUUAUAAAGAAAUCAAAGUAUCAAUUGCAAUUAAAUCAGUGUUAUCAAAGGCGCUUAAAGUGCGCUUAAGCCCUGAAGCGAGACUCAAAAUAUGUUGAGCGCUUCGCCUCGCUUAAUGGGCGCUUCAGUGUUGUCAUCAAGGCCACUAUAUGCUUUGCUUACUAACCAUAAGCAAAUUUCCCAAAGGAGAUAAUCAAGGAACUACUUACAGAUAGGCAUAUGUGACAUAAUUCAUCGAGUCCGUAAACUAAGUAGUUGCACAAACCUAUUGCUCAGGUAUUGCAAAAUGAGGUUGAUCACCCUAUCGGGCAAGCGCUUCAGUGUUGUCAUCAAGGCCACUAUAUGCUUUGCUUACUAACCAUAAGCAAAUUUCCCAAAGGAGAUAAUCAAGGAACUACUUACAGAUAGGCAUAUGUGACAUAAUUCAUCGAGUCCGUAAACUAAGUAGUUGCACAAACCUAUUGCUCAGGUAUUGCAAAAUGAGGUUGAUCACCCUAUCGGGCAAGUAACCACCAGCACGUAUAACAUUUAACAAAUUAAGGUGGCACUCCAGAAUUUUCCCCGCAUAACCCUUCUGAA
rnacentral:lncRNA from 1 species